rnacentral:lncRNA from 1 species
AAAAAGCAUGUGAUUAUUUUUUACUCUUAAAAAAAUGUCACUAAAUAAGAUAAGGAGACUUGGCUUUGCCCUAUCUUGGGCUCCACAUGUCCUGUUUCUCACUGAGAGACCCUGGCAAGGAGUUUCUCAGUGACAAAGAAAUGGUUUCUUCUCCUCUAGUUCUGAGCUAUAAACACCUUCUCUAAUCGACAUAGAAACGGCUAAGCAGUAGAUAUUUUCAGUCAGAGUACCCCAGUUUUAGUCAUAAAUUAUAUGCCUCUCCUUUUGGAAAUAUAAGGGGUAUAAUUUUUAUUCUUGGGCAGACAUAGUCCUGUGCCCGAUACCUUAGGAAAGAGCCAAAAAGAGAAUGUGGACACAGCUUGUCAUGGUGGAUGGAGAGGAAGGAGACACCAGGGGUAGGGACUCUGUAUUCUGAAGCUCUGAGGCCACAGGAUGAAAAAUCAGAGCCAAGUGAAUGCCUUCUCUGCCUCUCCAAUCCAUGCCAACCCAGGGCUGGCUGCUCACAUGGGGUCUGCACAAACUUGAAAAUCUCCAGAUGUUUUAUAGGGGGGACAAAGCCACGCUUUCUGCUGCAACAGACUGUGAGACUUUUAGGAUGCUCACCCCAAGGCCCUUGAAAAAUGAGAGAGGGGUCUGAUUCUUUGAGAUGGGUAAGGCAGAGGCACCCCGUGGAAGUCAAGCAUUCCUUCUCUCUUCCCUCCCAAGGCCAGCAUGUAAUUUCAAAUGUCCAGUCCAUCCAUGAACAAUAUGUUAGCCUUUGGCCAGGCGGUGAGCUUCCAAAAUGCAAACAUCUCAGCCUCUGUCUGCAGAGGUGAGAAUUCAGCUUGGCAGAGGAAUGGGACACUGUCAAGGAAGACAAGCUUUUGGAGUCAGACAAUCCCAGGUUUGCAUAUUGGCCUUGUUUUGUUGGUUUGUUUUGCUUUGUGUUAAAAUCUAAUUUAUUCUGCAAACUACAGCAGGUUAGUUAAUCCUUUGAAACCUCAGGUUUCUGAGCUAUAAUACAGGAAUAAUUAUAAGUGCUUUGCAGCAGAUUUGUGAGGAUUCUGAGAGUUGUUGGAUGUGUCUAGCACAUUCCUUCUAACUUAUAAAGCAUUAUAUGCCAAGUAUGAAUCUAAGUAAUGCACAUGCCCUAAUCUUUUCCAUCCUUACAACUAUUUAUAGCACUGCCCCCAUAUGGCAAAUGAAGGCUCAGAGAGGUCAAGGCACCUGCCCACAGUCACAAAGUCAGUAAGCAGCUGAUUCUGGAGCUGGUGCUCUCACCACAGGGACUGCUAUAUACCCAUAGUGGAAGCCUGGGGCUAGGAAUGAAGAUCUGUGUUCAUUCAUUCAUUCAUUCAUUCAUUCAACAAUUCACCUGGGCAUCUCUGAGAGAGGAUUACUCACAACAGGUUCUCAGACAAAAAAAAAAAUACAAUCUCUCCUUCCAGGAGUUGAAGAUCUCUCAGGGGAAACAGACAAGUACCCAAAACUAAAUCAAGGUAGAAUAUGACACCAGGGAGGAAGAGAGUAUGGCAGAGGACCUGUUAAAUGGCAGGAACAGACUGAUUUAAUGAAGGUGGUGGUAUUUCUGCUGAGCCUCAAAGGAUAGGCAUGAUUUUGACAGAUGCACUCAGCCUGGUUCAGUCCAAAUUAGGGCCCCCUUGUUCUUUCUCAUCACAACCCAUUCAUUUCCUUUGUUGGACUCACUGUGAUUUUAAUUUCACAGCUAUUUGCUGAUUUAUUUGUUCAAUGCUGGUCUCCCACACUAGACCAUGAGCAGGAAGGAGAGGCAGCAUGCAACUGUGCUCGUUGUCUACACAGGGCCUAGCACUGGGCCUGGGCCAGGGCAGGCACCUGGGAGAUUGCUGCAAGAGAGAAGGUCACCUAUCUCCCCAGGUAGCCUCUCUCACCCUGACAAUGUAUCUUCACAGGUAAGGGACAAAGACAAGACUAGAAAUCAUCCCUCUGCCCACCUCAAGACAAAUGCAGAUCUGACUUCUUCUUCCUCUACUCUAUGUUUACUUUAUCUUAUGUAAAAUACAAGAUUUACUGAGCAGGAGCCGAAUGCA